UAGCAAAACGCAAGAAUGAGUAUGUCAAGAAAAGCAUCACGAGAUCAACAGUUCAACUCUUACCGCCCAAAUUUUAUUCAAAUAAAAUGGAAAGUAGAGAAUUAAGAUUUAAUUCAUUGUUAGUGAAAUUGAUUAGUUGGGUAAAAAUCUUUUUAGGAACGAAGAGAGGCAAAUUUAUAAUGGAAGAGCUGGGACUUGAUGGACGCAUACAUGAAGUAAGUGGAAGCCUUUAAAACUGGUGGAAGAGUAUCAAAAGUAGAUCCUUUGAAGCGCAAACAAUGCAAAGAACCAGUGAAGAGUGCAAUUCUCAAGAACAACAUGAUAAACAGAAGUGGAAAUUUUCUUCUCUCAAAUACAAAUCUCUUGUGUAAAGACUCUUAUCUCGUCCAUUCCUCCGGCUGUGAUAUGGCCAAAGCCAAGAUUUUCUAGACAGUUCAAUGCCAUUUGAUUGCAGAGGCUUUAACUUCAAUGACAUAUCAUAGACGAGGGAAGGCUUCAGCACCACACUGUAGAAUAUGUCCUAAUCACAAUUUUCUUAUGGUUGUUGAUGGAUCUUGUACUUACAAGGUUGGUGAUACUCGGCUUCAUAUGAUUGUUGUGAUUCCUUUCCCAUCCUCUCGCAUGACAUCUUAUCGUAUUGUGAUAGUUAGUUCUCCAACUCAUCCUUUUUUUCCAAAAUGAUAUCCCGUUAACAGGAAGACUUGGCUUGACAUGCUCCUCUCCAUAUUUUAAGGAUGAGUUUAGCAGGAGAAAUAUGGGAACGACUUUUUUCGAUAAAAGCUUGAGUGACACUUAAACAGCGCAUGCUUCUAUAUAUGGUUUCCAGUAACUUUGUUCGACCAUCUGAUACUUUUUUGUUUGAGCGUCAGACAUGUGGUAGAGCUUCAAUAAGCCGGGACAGAACAGAAGAUACUACUUCUUAAAAAGACAGGGAAAUCAUUCAUCCCUUAUUUUUGAUUUACCAGAAUUUGUUUCGUUAGUCAUUUAACAGCCAUGCGAGCAGAUGGAGGAAAUGGAACAAAAGUUAUUUUCCUUGAAGUCGACAGAGGGAGAGGGUGUUAAAGAGGUGAGUGGGAGAUACUAAAUAAGGGAUCGUAGUUGUAAUUUUGUUGAUACUAAAUUUCCGCUACUCUCGCUUCUUUGGAAAGUUCAAGGAUGCAUCCUCCGAUAAGUAAAUGUCUAAUUACCAUGACGAAAAGUUGUACCAAGGAAGCUACUAAGUUGAUCACAAAGCUUUUGGAAAGAUAAGUAAUUUCGUCACCAUAAGAAAUAAAACAGAAUUUAGUAAAGUUUGAGAUACUGAUUAUUAAUCUUUCUUUCAGGUUUCUUAUACUAAGUUGAUCACAAAGCUUUCAGAAAUCAUUCAGGCGGUGGACAUGUCAUGGACCUAUCAGAUUCGAACCAAACUUUGUCAAGUCAGUUUUUGUCUUUCUUUUAGUUAUUCAAGAUUUUAUAGUCUUAGGUGACAUAUCUCAGAGACCAGAGAAUGGUAGAUUGGUUUACUUACUUCCAUGUUUCCUUUUAAUAUUUCUGGUCUGUUGUUUCUUGCAACAGUCUGACUAUGUCUUUGUCAUCAGACUUCACUGAAUAGGUUUUGACUUGAUUGCAACGGUUUUAUCAUCACACCAGAUAGCUACUUUAAUCAGUUUGUCACACAUCAUAUGGUUCAACUGCUACGACAGAAAUCUGGUCAACAUUGAGAAUCAAAAGUUGACUCUCGGUAAAGACAAUGAGAAAAGCUAUGCUAGAAAUGUUCUUUUCAGUCAUGUUCCACCGUGUCUAAUGAGCGAAAGAAUCACCUGUAAACAAGAGGAGAGCUUCUUUAUGAGCAGAAAACAUGAGUAUUUCUGUGAAGACUAGAGAAGAGUGGAAGAACUAGUUCACUGAACAAAAGGCUCCUUACGAAAAGGUGUGAUCCCAUACCAAUGAUUUAAACAAAUGAAAAGUUAAAAGAUAUGUUCUAACUUGUGUGCAUAUUCUUGAUUUGUUCAGUUGUACCAAAGAAGCUACUAAGUUGAUCACAAUGCUUUUAGAAAUCAUUCACGCUGUGGACAGGACAUGGACCUGUCAUAUUUGAGCCAAACUUUCUCAGGUCGUUUUUUGUCUUUCUUUUAUUUAUUUAAGGUAUGUUCUCAUCAAUCCUCUUCUUCUUCUUCUUGGUCUUUUGAGUUUGUUUCUACUGUUUGAUGUUGUGUCUCUUUUCUUUUGCAGCAACAGAUUUCAUAGUCUCUUAUGUGACAUAUCUCAGACACUAGAGAAUGGUAUAUAGGUUUGCAUACUUGAUUAUACAAUUCAAUCUCACUUCCAUGUUUCCUUCUUUACCUACUUCCUUUCUUCAUUCUUUCUCUCUUGUUUUGUUUACUUAUAUGAUACCUUGCUAACUUCCUUCUUACUUUCUUUCUUGCGUUCUUAGUUUUUUUAGUCUUGGCUUAGUUGCGAGCUUCCUUAAUUACAUGCCUCUAAAUUUUCUGUUAAUUUAUUUCCCUUCUUCUUUGGUUACAUGCAUUUGUUUGUUUCCUUCAUUGGUUAUCUGCUUUCUUUUUCUUCCUUGAUUUCUUGUUCCUUGGUGAGUUGUGUGCUUUAUUACUUGUUCCUUGAUUUGUAAUAUACUUGCUUCCUUUUGUAUUUUUUUUUUUUUUUUAUUUUGGUUCUGAAUUGCUAUCUUCCUUCAUUACUUGCUUCUUGAUAUGUUGGUUACUUAUUUUCGUUUUUUCCUUGUAUACUUGCUUUCUUGUUUACUUGCUAACUUCCUUCUUACUUGCUUUCUUUCUUCCUUACUUUCUUACUUGCGUACUUAGUUUUUUUAGUCAUGGCUUAGUUGCGUGCUUCCUUAAUUACAUACCUCUAAAUUUUCUGUUAAUUUAUUUCUUUUUUCUUUGGUUACAUGCAUUUGUUUGUUUCCUUCAUUGGUUAUCUGCUCUCUUUUUCUUCCUUGAUUUCUUCUUCCUUGGUAAAUUGUGUGCUUUAUUACUUGUUCCAUGAUUCGUAAUAUACUUGCUUCCUUUUGUUUUUUUUUUGUUUUUUAAUUCGGUUCCUUGG